rnacentral:rRNA from 1 species
UACGUAGGGUGCGAGCGUUGUCCGGAAUUACUGGGCGUAAAGAGCUCGUAGGUGGUUUGUCGCGUUGUUCGUGAAAAACCGGGGGGCUUACCCUCGGCGUGCGGGCGAUACGGGCAGACUUGAGUACUGCAGGGGAGACUGGAAUUCCUGGUGUAGCGGUGGAAUGCGCAGAUAUCAGGAGGAACACCGGUGGCGAAGGCGGGUCUCUGGGCAGUAACUGACGCUGAGGAGCGAAAGCGUGGGGGAGCGAACAGG